UGGUUCUGGUAUCGAUGAAGAACGCAGCGAAAUGCGAUAAGUAAUGCGAAUUGCAGAAUUUCCGUGAGUCAUCGAAUCUUUGAACGCACAUUGCGCCCUUUGGUAUUCCGAAGGGCAUGCCUGUUCGAGCGUCAUUAUCACCCCUCAAACCCCCGGGUUUGUUGUUGGAUCACGUCCCGUCUCCCACCAGAGAUGUGACCGGUCCCAAAAUUAAUGACGGCGUCCAGGGGACCCUCAGUGCAACGAGCCUUUUCGGCACGCACCGAGUUUCAAGGUCUCUGUGGGCCGGUCUACAAACCAAUUUUCUAAGGUUGACCUCGGAUCAGGUAGGAAUACCCGCUGA
rnacentral:misc_RNA from 1 species